UACAGAGGUCUCAAGCGUUGUUCGGAUUCAUUGGGCGUAAAGGGUGCGUAGGUGGCGCUGUAAGUCGGGUGUGAAAUUUCGGAGCUUAACUCCGAAACUGCAUUCGAUACUGCGGUGCUUGAGGACUGGAGAGGAGACUGGAAUUCAUGGUGUAGCAGUGAAAUGCGUAGAGAUCAUGAGGAAGACCAGUGGCGAAGGCGGGUCUCUGGUACGUGACUGACGCUGAGACGCGAAAGCUAGGGGAGCGAACGGG
rnacentral:rRNA from 1 species